rnacentral:lncRNA from 1 species
GCCUUUCUGCGCUUCCGGGGCCCAGGCGCUGCGCGCUCGCCACACCCUCUUCAUCUGCAUAGGGCGCCGCCCCCGCCCGCCCUGCGGACCGAGACUGGCUGAGCGGCGCGGAGAGCCAAGAGGUCCGUAGAGCGCGAGGCCGGUAGCUAUUUGUAUGUACAUGUAUAUGUGCGUGUAUUUGUACAUAUACUUAACUUAGAGACGGUCUUUCGCGCCUAAGCCUCUCUAUUCUUGUUUCCUCAACGGGAAGACCCUGAAAAUGCCUCAAGAGUUGUAAGUGGCCCUAAAAACUGAAUCACGAGUAAAAUCACGCAAGUGCAGAAAGUCGCCAAACAUAAAAUUCUCUGAUUCAGCGCGUCCUUAUAGCUUAAUGAUGGGGCUCCAGAGGUUCCUCACGACCUCGCGCUUAAAAAGUGUAUCGGUAUAAAGCUAGACCGUUUUUUUUAAUCAAGAAACGCUGUCUCGGUGUGAACUAUUGAGCCCACUCGUCCAUGCAAAUCAGUCUCCGCGAGUGAGGGGAAGGGCUUACUAACUGUGUUUCGAUUCUCGAAACCUCGGGAAGUGCCUGGGAGCUCCGGGCAAGCCCGAGGAGACGCGGGGGCGGAGCCGCGAGGUUGCGUCCAACUCGUGCGCACGAGCCGCUCCGGGCGGCCGGGAGCGCGGCGUGGGCCAGCGCGCGUCACCGAGCGGACGCCCCGGCGGGUCGGGCGGCUGGGCGGGCGAGCGGCCAAUAGCCGAGGACGGCGCGGGCCCGGGGUGCGGCGCGGAGAGCGCGCCGCCGCUGUGUCGUGCGAAGAGCUGCUGCGCGCGCCCGGACGCACCGCGGCGCGUUCUCCCGCGGACAGAGGAAGCGAAGCGCGUUCGUCCCAAGCUAAGAGCUGCUUUGAGAUCAAAGAGAUUCCUGUGUGAGAAGGAGGUCCACGGAGUACAGGGUGAACAGGCAGCUGAUGCCAAACAGGCAGGGGAGUCUGAUUGUGGAGACCAACUUUCAAGUCACCAAAAAUAUCAGCUGACUUACAGAAGUAGGAAUCACAGAAUUGUAGAGCUUGGAAACCCAAUGGUACAUAAGAGAAAACCUAAUCUGACAUCUUUAUCUCAUAAUUAA